GACGAACGCUGGCGGCGUGCUUAACACAUGCAAGUCGAACGGAAAGGCCCUGCUUUUGUGGGGUGCUCGAGUGGCGAACGGGUGAGUAACACGUGAGUAACCUGCCCUUGACUUUGGGAUAACUUCAGGAAACUGGGGCUAAUACCGGAUAGGAGCUCCUGCUGCAUGGUGGGGGUUGGAAAGUUUCGGCGGUUGGGGAUGGACUCGCGGCUUAUCAGCUUGUUGGUGGGGUAGUGGCUUACCAAGGCUUUGACGGGUAGCCGGCCUGAGAGGGUGACCGGCGACAAUGGGACUGAGAGAGGGAGCAGACUGCUACGGGAGGCAGCAGGGGGGAAUAUUGCACAAUGAGCGGAAGUCUGAUGCAGCAACGCCGCGGGCGGGAUGACGGCCUGCUGGUUGUGAACCGCUUUCGCCUGAGACGAAGCGUGAGUGACGGUAAUGGGUAAAGAAGCACCGGCUAACUACGUG
rnacentral:rRNA from 1 species